rnacentral:tRNA from 1 species
GAAGGUGUAACUCAAUGGUAGAAUGCGUACUUAGCAUGCACAGGGUCCUGGGUUCAAUCUCCAGUACCUCCA